rnacentral:tRNA from 2 species
GGGCCUUUAGCUCAACGGUUAGAGCAGGGGACUCAUAAUCCCUUGGUUGCGGGUUCGAAUCCCGCAGGGCCCACCA